GCACAAGCGGUGGAUGAUGUGGUUUAAUUCGAUGCAACGACGAAAACCUUAACCCACCUUUGACAUGGCAGGAAUCCCGAAGAGAUUUGGGAGUGCUCGAAAGAGAACCUGCACACAGGUGCUGCAUGGCUGUCGUCAGCUCGUGUCGUGAGAUGUUGGGUUAAGUCCCGCAACGAGCGCAACCCUUGUCAUUAGUUGCUACAUUCAGUUGGGCACUCUAAUGAGACUGCCGGUGACAAACCGGAGGAAGGUGGGGAUGACGUCAAGUCCUCAUGGCCCUUAUAGGCGGGGCUACACACGUCAUACAAUGGAUGGUACAAAGGGUCGCCAACCCGCGAGGGGGAGCCAAUCCCAUAAAGCCAUUCGUAGUCCGGAUCGCAGUCUGCAACUCGACUGCGUGAAGUCGGAAUCACUAGUAAUCGUGGAUCAGAAUGUCGCGGUGAAUACGUUCCCGGGUCUU
rnacentral:rRNA from 1 species